rnacentral:rRNA from 1 species
UAGGGAAUNUUCCGCAAUGGGCGAAAGCCUGACGGAGCAACGCCGCGUGAGUGAAGAAGGAUUUCGGUUCGUAAAGCUCUGUUGUUAGGGAAGAAUGAUUGUGUAGUAACUAUACAUAGUAGAGACGGUACCUAACCAGAAAGCCACGGCUAACUACGUGCCAGCAGCCGCGGUAAUACGUAGGUGGCAAGCGUUGUCCGGAAUUAUUGGGCGUAAAGCGCGCGCAGGUGGUUUAAUAAGUCUGAUGUGAAAGCCCACGGCUCAACCGUGGAGGGUCAUUGGAAACUGUUAAACUUGAGUGCAGGAGAGAAAAGUGGAAUUCCUAGUGUAGCGGUGAAAUGCGUAGAGAUUAGGAGGAACACCAGUGGCGAAGGCGGCUUUUUGGCCUGUAACUGACACUGAGGCGCGAAAGCGUGGGGAGCAAACAGGAUUAGAUACCCUGGUAGUCCACGCCGUAAACGAUGAGUGCUAAGUGUUGGUCUCAUAAGAGAUCAGUGCUGCAGCUAACGCAUUAAGCACUCCGCCUGGGGAGUACGACCGCAAGGUUG